AUUCAAAUAGCUUAUAUUUAGAGCAUGACACUGAAGAUGUUAGAGAGAUAGUACUUAUCUUUGAAUA
rnacentral:tRNA from 1 species